rnacentral:rRNA from 1 species
CCUACGGGCGGCUGCAGUGAGGAAUAUUGGUCAAUGGACGAAAGUCUGAACCAGCCAAGCAGCGUGAAGGAUGACUGCCCUAUGGGUUGUAAACUUCUUUUAUAAAGGAAUAAAACGAGGCACGUGUGCCUUUUUGCAUGUACUUUAUGAAUAAGGAUCGGCUAACUCCGUGCCAGCAGCCGCGGUAAUACGGAGGAUCCGAGCGUUAUCCGGAUUUAUUGGGUUUAAAGGGAGCGUAGAUGGGUUGUUAAGUCAGUUGUGAAAGUUUGCGGAUCAACCGUAAAAAUGCAAUUGAUACUGGCAGUCUUGAGUACAGUUGAGGUAGGCGGAAUUCGUGGUGUAGCGGUGAAAUGCUUAGAUAUCACGAAGAACCCCGAUUGCGAAGGCAGCUUACUAAACUGUGACUGACAUUGAGGCACGAAAGUGUGGGGAGCAAACAGGAUUAGAUACCCGGGUAGUC